GCCCAAAUAUAUAUCAUGUUUUUAUUCUCUUCAGACUGGUGGAGGGUCAUCAUGGUGUCUGUGGGUUUAGCAGCACUCAUAAUAACUGUUGUGGUGGUCAACAUAUGGAUGAGAACUAAAGGAAACAGAACCCAGAUGGACGGCAAUGCUGAGCAUCAUGAUGAAGAUGAAGGUACAGUGACCUAUGAAAACGUUGGAGAACCUUCUGUUUCUAUCAGA